CCAACAGGGAUUGCCCCAGUAACGGCGAGUGAAGCGGCAGGAGCUCAAAUUUGAAAUCUGGGGUCGCCGACCUCCGAGUUGUAAUUUGGAGAGGCAUCUUCGGGGUGGAGCGCCGGCCCCAUGUUCCUUGGAACAGGACGUCGCAGAGGGUGAGAAUCCCGUGCCAGGCCGGCCGCCUCCGCCCCAUCGAGGGGCCUUCGACGAGUCGAGUUGUUUGGGAAUGCAGCUCCAAGUGGGUGGUAAAUUUCAUCUAAAGCUAAAUACCGGCGGGAGACCGAUAGCGCACAAGUAGAGUGAUCGAAAGAUGAAAAGCACUUUGAAAAUAGAGUCAAAAAGUACGUGAAAUUGUUGAAAGGGAAGCGCUUGAGACCAGACCCAGACCCGGGCAAACACCGCGCCCCUCGGGGCCGUGCAAUUGCCCGUGGCUGGGCCAGCAUCAGUCGGCCCGGCGGGACAAAUGCGAGGGGAAUGUGUCUCCCCUCGGGGAGUGUUUAUUAGCCCCUCGCCCAAUGCCGCCCGAGCCGACUGUGGACCGCGCCUCGGCUAGGAUGCUGGCUUAAUGGCCUUCAGCGACCCGUCUUGAAACACGGACCAAGGAGUCUAACAUCUAUGCGAGUGUUUGGGCUUCAAACCCUUGCGCGGAAUGAAAGUGAGCGGAGGUGGGAACCCCCCCGCGGGGCGCACCAUCGACCGAUCCUGAUGUCCUCGGAUGGAUUUGAGUAGGAGC
rnacentral:rRNA from 1 species